rnacentral:lncRNA from 1 species
UGAAUUUUUGGGGAGUACAAGGGGACUGCCAAAUAUCAAUAGUCCCUGAUAUAAUCAGGAACUUGUCCUUGCCCUUUUUUUUCCCCCAGGAGGUUCAGAAGUACUGUGGAAUGAGAGAAGAGUGUCAACAGAAAGUCUGAACCUGAGCUGUCAACAAGUUGGCUGAAUGGUGUGGCUGUCACAUCCCCUGAAUAUACUGGAGCUUUCGUGACAAGAUUUAAAUUUUCUACUAGUGCAGACUGAUUUUAUUUUGAACAAUUUUGAGGCAUUAGAAAACUUUUAUCUACUAAGCUGUAUCAGCAACUGGAAGGAUCUGGAAGGACUAAAGUAACUAUUUGUUCCAAACAACCUACAUAGCUCUUUUUUUCUUCUUUUGGCAAUUACCCACGAAUGCAUUUCAGUUUUAGAGAUCCUUGUAGUAAUCUUUACAGCUGUGUUUGACCAAUGGAUUGCAUGAACUGCUCACCAUCUGUAAGGGAAAAGAUUUUUUCAGUACAGUCAUCCCAAUCUUUGUAAAGUUAGCGGUCUGCCCCUGCAAAAAAUCCUGAUACUGGCUUAAAGAUCGUGAAAUUGGAACACUUGCAGGAAAGCAUUUUAAAGUUGAAUUCUAAAAGUCACAUUAUAUUGUUGUAUCUUCUGAUCAGAAGCUGUCAUCUUUAUAUACUACUUUUUUCUCCUUCCACUCUUCUCUCCUUCCCAAGUUCCUAUAUCUCCUGACAACCAAUUUUUGCUAUGAGAGUGAAACUGCUUUUUUCAGAAAUUUGUUAGGACAGACUGUUGGCUCUUGGAAUAUUUCUGAACAGCUGAUAAUGGAGAGAAAGCUGCUGAAUCACAUCACUGUGCUGAGUGUAUUCCUCAGAUGGUCUCUCCUUAACGAUGCAAGAAAAGAAAAGGUAAACCAACGUAUAUCAAAG